GCUCCGGUGGCUUAGUGGUUAGAGCGUCCGCCUCGGAUACAGGAGGUCGUGGGUUCUAUCCUCGAUCGUGUCA